AAGGAGAAAUCCAGAGUGAAAUGAAAUAACGGUUUGGGGAGCAGAUGGUGCAAUAUCUCAUUCUUAAAAGGGUCUCCUUCUGUCAUUAAGACUGGGGUGCAAUGACACAAUUACAGCUCGCUACAGUUUCGGCCUCCCAGACUCAAGCCAUCCUUCCACCUCAGCCUCCCGAGUAGCUGGGGCCACAGGCAUGUGCCAUUGUGCCUGGCUAAUUUUUGUAUUUUUUUUGCAGAGAUGGGUUUCGCCAUGUUGCCCAGGCUGGAUAUUAACAGUAUUCUCACAAAUAUUUUUACUUUUUGUUUUUAAUCCAUAGAUCUGGCUAAAUCGCAACAGAUUUAAAAAUUCUUCAUGCUUUAUUAUUAUUAUUAAACUUUUAUUUUAGUUUCAGUGGUACAUGUGCAGUUUUGAUAAAUUGAUAAAUUGCUUCUCACAGGGUUUGCUUUAUUGUUUUUGACCCAUAAAUUGGAAGGCCAAAAAGUCUAGCUAUUUGAAACUAUUGGAGAUUUCCAUCUUCAUCACUAUUAUCUGAAACUGAGUUUUCCUCACAACUGAUAACAUCAGAUAGCCAAGGAAUUCCUGAACACUUUUCUUGUUGAUUUCAAGUCCUGCCUGACUCUCUAGCCUCUGUAACCUCUUGUUUCUCACAACUUUGGCGUCUUCGUCCCCCUUUUAUAAGCUAGUUCUUUCCCCAGUUCCAGAAUCAAUUUGAACCAGAAGUUGACUAAGUUUGAAGCAGUUCCCAAGCCACUUCCUGGUACAUCAUACCGUGGAGUCUCCCAAGAAUUACUCUAUGUCUAUCCCCAAAGUUUUUCUCCAAAGGACUCAGUCAAUUCUAUCAUACCUACCUCUUGGCCCUGCUCCUUAUUUCUCAUUCUAGUGACUUCCCCAAGCACCCUAUUCCCUUCUUAGAACUGAGGUCUUGAGUUAUUCUUGGAAGUUUCCUUUCCAGAGUCUUUAUAUCUUGUUUGUUCAUGAAUUGCCCUGUGUAGCUAGAACUUUGUCAUUUGCUAACACAAUUUAGUCUCCUCUACAAGCUAUUGAACCUCCAUUUCUUGGUGCUGACUUUCCAAAAUUUUUUUCUGGCUGUGCUUUAAUCCUGGGAACCAUCAGAUCAUUCUAAUUCCUGUUGUGGACUUGCUACUUUGCUAGGACUUAGGCUUGAUGCUCUGUCAUACCGAUGAAAUUUUCUAAUCUGUAAAACAAAGUAAAUAAUAGUACUUACGUCCUGAGAUCCACAUGAGGUUGAUAUUAAUACACAUGUAUACUUAGCUGAGCACUUGCACAGUCAGUGUGCUAUAUAGUGUGCAAUAAAUAAUUGCAGUUGUUGCCAUUGCUGUUAUUAAAGCUCUUUAGAACAGUGCUCCCAAAUUUGUCACUUGAGUCAUGUCAUUAUUUUUCACCACUAGCAUACUACCCCUACACUACCAUUUUUUUUAUUUUUUUGAGAUUGAGUCUUACUCUGUUGCCCAAGUUGGAGUGCAAUGGCAUGAUUUCAGCUCACUGCAACCUCUGCCUCCUGGGUUCAAACGAUUCUCCUGCCUCAGCCUCCCAAGUAGCUGGGACUACAGGUGCCCACCACCACACCCAGCUCAUUUUAUUUUUGUAUUUUUAGUAGAGAUGGGAUUUCACCAUGUUGGCCAGGCUGGUCUUGAACUCCUGACUUCGUGAUCAGCCCAUUUGGCCUCCCAAAGUGCUGGGAUUACAGGCGUGAGCCACUACGCCCAGCCUGCACUACCAUUUUUAAAUGCAUUUUUUUCAUAGACUGC
rnacentral:lncRNA from 10 species